GGCACCCCGAACGAUCUCUUCGGAGAUAGUGGCGCACGGGUGCGUAACGCGUGGGAAUCUGCCCUUGGGUUCGGAAUAACAUCGGGAAACUGAUGCUAAUACCGGAUGAUGACGUAAGUCCAAAGAUUUAUCGCCCAGGGAUGAGCCCGCGUAGGAUUAGCUAGUUGGUGAGGUAAAGGCUCACCAAGGCGACGAUCCUUAGCUGGUCUGAGAGGAUGAUCAGCCACACUGGGACUGAGACACGGCCCAGACUCCUACGGGAGGCAGCAGUAGGGAAUAUUGGACAAUGGGGGCAACCCUGAUCCAGCAAUGCCGCGUGAGUGAUGAAGGCCUUAGGGUUGUAAAGCUCUUUUACCCGGGAUGAUAAUGACAGUACCGGGAGAAUAAGCCCCGGCUAACUCCGUGCCAGCAGCCGCGGUAAUACGGAGGGGGCUAGCGUUGUCGGAAUUACUGGGCGUAAAGCGCACGUAGGCGGCGAUUUAAGUCAAAGGG
rnacentral:rRNA from 1 species